rnacentral:tRNA from 1 species
UUUGCCCUUUAGUUUAUUUAGAAUAUUUAGCUUCGGAUUAAAAGGAGGGAAGGUUUCCCUGGGGUAUAG